rnacentral:rRNA from 1 species
UACGAAGGGUGCAAGCGUUACUCGGAAUUACUGGGCGUAAAGCGUGCGUAGGUGGUUUGUUAAGUCUGAUGUGAAAGCCCUGGGCUCAACCUGGGAAUUGCAUUGGAUACUGGCAGGCUAGAGUGCGGUAGAGGAUGGCGGAAUUCCCGGUGUAGCAGUGAAAUGCGUGGAGAUCGGGAGGAACAUCUGUGGCGAAGGCGGCCAUCUGGACCAGCACUGACACUGAGGCACGAAAGCGUGGGGAGCAAACAGG